AAUGCCACAAACAUCAAAAACAGGAGAUACAAAAAGAUGAAGUCCAACUGGGUAACAUCCAUUCUUGUUGGGUUUAUCACCAUGGCUAGUUUUGGGAUGCCGUUUGUUCCGGCUGCUGACGUCCAACAUGUCCAGUGCGGUUCAGCAGUCACUCUUGACUGUAACAUCUCCUAUCUUUACGAUACAACGUGGCUAAAGCACAACCCUGAUUUCACCCCCACUGUGGUCCUCUGCACCAGUCUCAGAGAGGGACGACCAGUACAAGGGUUUCAGCUCAGCCCUCGUUUCUCAGUGGAGUUGAUAAACCGAUCACUGGCAUUGAGGAUCACUAGUGUUGAGGAGAGAGACCUGGGGCUGUACUACUGUGUUGCCAAUGUGAACUCCCGUUUAACAGUUGGGAGAGGAACUGUGCUUUGUGUUUCAUCUCCAGGUUCCUCUUGGUUCCUCUUUCCCCACUGGUACUGUGUGGCUGUGGGUUCGGGGCUGCUGAUUAUGGUGCUGGCUGUUUGCAUCACCCAUUUCAAAGCAAAGUCAAACAAGAACUCCAGCAACAAGACCCGCACUGCUAACAGCACCCAAAAAAGACAACGACACCAAUAGCACCAAUAGCUAACAUGGUUAAGGAGUCUCGGCCAGAGGAAAGAAGUCUGCUGGUUCGGCGACAGAUGCUUCUGGAUUUCCUUCCAGACGGCAGCAGGGUGAACAGGCUGUGGCUGCGGUGAAAAGUCACAUUUUUCAAUAUACAAAGUGAACAAUGGCAGAUAAUUUAUACUAUACGAUGUAAAAUAAAUCAUUUUCAUGGAGUCAUGUCAU